rnacentral:lncRNA from 1 species
GAAAUUUAAAAUUAUUUUGGUGCCGAUUCAAAACACAUGUAUGUUAAAAAUUUAUUUUUCUCACACAUCUAAGUUAUUCUAACCUGUAAAAUCUCUAAAAUAAUUUAUGACAAGAAGGAAAUGAUUUAAGUGAAUAAACUCCCAUAACCCUCAUGCUAAAAUAAGUUAUGUAACAAAACUCACAUCUUUUAAAAUUCUCAUUAGUUGAAGAAAAAGUUGUCCCAAAAGUUCUAGUUCAUCUUCAAGCUGUGACCUUUACUUCAUCUCAAAAUUAUCCUUUUUGUUGGUUUAUUCCUUUUCUACUUCACGAAUUUGCUUGAUUUUUGAAGUUGGAGAAGUUGAAUCUGACAUGCAAGGUUGCUGGACAUGUCUGAUGGUGUUAAGUAAAUUGACAUUUUUGGAGAUUUUAAAAAAGAAUGAGAAAUUGAGGCUUUGAGGGAGAUGAUGAACAAUAACAAUUACGUUAUCCUUCAAACUGGUUACAAG